ensembl:rRNA 5S_rRNA 5S ribosomal RNA
GUCUACGGCCAUACCACCUUGAACACACCUGAUCUCAUCUGAUCUCGGAAGCUAAUCAGGGUCGGGCUUGGUUAGUACUUGGAAGGGAGAUAAAGAUUGAACCACGGUGUCUCGUAUGCU